GACGAACGCUGGCGGCGUGCUUAACACAUGCAAGUCGAACGGAAAGGCCCUGCUUUUGUGGGGUGCUCGAGUGGCGAACGGGUGAGUAACACGUGAGUAACCUGCCCUUGACUUUGGGAUAACUUUAGGAAACUGGGGCUAAUACCGGAUAGGAGCUCCUGCUGCAUGGUGGGGGUUGGAAAGUUUCGGCGGUUGGGGAUGGACUCGCGGCUUAUCAGCUUGUUGGUGGGGUAGUGGCUUACCAAGGCUUUGACGGGUAGCCGGCCUGAGAGGGUGACCGGCCACAUUGGGACUGAGAUACGGCCCAGACUCCUACGGGAGGCAGCAGUGGGGAAUAUUGCACAAUGGGCGGAAGCCUGAUGCAGCAACGCCGCGUGCGGGAUGACGGCCUUCGGGUUGUAAACCGCUUUCGCCUGUGACGAAGCGUGAGUGACGGUAAUGGGUAAAGAAGCACCAGCUAACUACGUG
rnacentral:rRNA from 1 species